CCACGAAGCCCUCCUUGAUUGCUGGGCCCUGGUUGAACUCCUUAUUAGUAACACCCAGGUUAGUCCUACUUAAUUCUUACCUGCAGCCAAAGUGGACUUAGCAUCUCCUUGCAUGCCUGGUAAAGUCAAGGGUUUUCAGCCAGGGCCUGUGUAUAAAGCAGAAGCAGCACAGAGUCUGGUUUGAAGCUUAGUGCUUGGGUUCAGACAGUUGUGGGUUACAAUCCCUUCUACACAUGUUCUCUGUGGAAACCAUUUGGUUCUCUGUGCUUGGAACUCGCCUGCAACGGGACAAAGCCAUCUCACCUAGACUGUUGUUAUGAAGAUUGAAUUAGGUGAUUCUGAGAGGCAUUUAUGCGUCCUCCCUGAGUAACAAUCCAUGAAAAGUGGGCGUCAUUGCUGAAGCUCAAGGAAGAAAUAUGAAAUUUGAUUAUAUCCUUAUUCACGGCAUUGGGUCACCAACUCAGCACUUUUUAUGAAAGUAGCAUCUGACCUGGCAAAGGCUGUGUCAUCUUAUUACCUCAGAAAGACAAAUUUACGGGGUCAGACGAUGGAUGGCUUGUAGAUUUCUCAAUGGGCUGGAAGGAAGGAGAGAAAAAGAGAGACAGGAGAGAGUACACAUUUAAUUCUGCUUCCCCUAGGGUGAUAUUUCCUUCCUCCCCUUCCAGGGUUCUCAAAAAGGCAUUCUAGGAAGUCCUGUAAAAUACAUGCUCAUAAAAAUCUCAUAAUUUCCACAAAUUGUUGAGAAUUUAAAACUCGGUUGGGAGUUUGCUGUUUCAGCCUGAGACACCGGGGUCACGUUUCAGUGCCUGCAGUCUUGAGACAGUACCAGGCAUCUGGGAUGAAGCUGAGGAAAGAAGAUGUGGGGGCCCUGCUGGCCUGCUCCUUCUCUCGAAAGACGCUUACCGGCUGCUGGUGUGUCACAGGGCUUUAGGAUUUGGAAAAACAGAGGGAUUUAAAAGAAGAUAGAAUGGUCAGAAUUUCGAGAACUGUGUGCUGAAGUGCCAUCUUUAGGGUGCUCAUAACACGGCCUUACAACAUUAGAGGUGCUGGAAUCAUGGAAGAGGCAUCUGGACUCUGUAAUGUCCUUCCCCCUGGAAAAUCUGCUCCAGAAGUGGGGGAUUGGGAGCUGUCAACAUAUGAGCCAUCUUUUGCUCCGUUCAAGAUGGUAGGGGCAUUCUCAACAUGCCCCUCACUCUGAUUCUGCCUCACUUUUAUUUUAGAAUUUUCCACUGCCUUUUCUGGAAUGUGCUUUUUCAACCCUCAAAAUCUGUAGAGAAGAAAUAAGCAGAAACCGAAAUGGCUUUCUGGUGUUCUCCAUGCUCUCAGCUUACUGGAAAAUCGAGCCGCAGGCUCGAGGCUGGACUUUAAGGCAGAGCACUGCAAUUAUAGUGCUAUGGCCUUGGCUUCCUUUCUCAUCACCCAGGUACAGUCCUGCAGUCCUCAGAGGAUGCCAGUCCCACACAGGGGGAUCCUUCUCCAUAGGAAAACCGAGGAACAAUGCAGGUUCGAGGUGCACAGUGGCUAAGCACACUCAGUCCUCAAGAUCUUUCCUCUCAAAUGCUAAUGCUACCUUCAGAUGGGCUGCUGCCUGCUACCAUUUCAACAUUGAGUCCUUUAAGAUGCCAUCAGAGAGAGGGGAAGCAAGAGGCCAAGAAAAAUGAAAGGACAGCCAUCAUAGCUACAAAACAGAUGGAUGCGGUAACACAGAACACCAAAAACCUCCGCUUAAGACUCGGCUGGGAAAUUGAGUUGCCUUUUUUAAUGGAAAAGGAAAAGAAUCACCCAUAAGGAUAACCUUGAAUUUAGAAAGAGCGGGUGGGUGGGGUGAUCAGCUGGGCCUCUUCUGUGCAUGGUAGAGCACAUUUCAGAAUUGUGUGUGUAUCAGUGGUCACUGUAAUUUAAGAAAAAAGAACAAGAAUUCAGAAAAUUAUAUCCUAUCCGAAAAAAAGGCUACUCUAAUGUUCCUGAUGACUUCAUUAUCAACUGGAGUUAUUUAUUUUUCUAAGAAUGUUAUCUUUGGAGAUAAUUUUCAUCAGUGAGUCAACCUUUGUUUGCUUGCAUUGGUUUCACCUUCUAUUAUUUUUUACCCAUGACUGUCAGCUUUUACCACUUACUGAACCCUGACGGAAGAAGGACGUCUGCUCAUUGACAUGCUGACAACCUGAUAAGUCACCCCACACACAUACCACACACACACGUGCACAUCC
rnacentral:lncRNA from 10 species